GACGAACGCUGGCGGCGUGCUUAACACAUGCAAGUCGAACGGAAAGGCCCCUUUGGGGGUACUCGAGUGGCGCACGGGUGAGUAACACGUGAGUAACCUGCCCUUGACUUCGGGAUAACUUCAGGAAUCUGGGGCUAAUACCGGAUAGGAAUCCUUGCUGCAUGGUGGGGGUUGGAAAGCUUCGGCGGUUUUGGAUGGACUCGCGGCUUAUCAGCUUGUUGGUGGGGUAGUGGCUUACCAAGGCUUUGACGGGUAGCCGGCCUGAGAGGGCGACCGGCCACAUUGGGACUGAGAUACGGCCCAGACUCCUACGGGAGGCAGCAGUGGGGAAUAUUGCACAAUGGGCGGAAGCCUGAUGCAGCAACGCCGCGUGCGGGAUGACGGCCUUCGGGUUGUAAACCGCUUUCAGCAGGGGCGAAGCUUGUGGUGACGGUACCUGCAGAAGAAGCACCGGCUAACUACGUG
rnacentral:rRNA from 1 species